GGCGAUACGUAACGAGCCAAAGCCGACAGUAUCUGCUAAUGGAACGUGUCGUAUGCGAUUCUCUGCAAAUGUCGAAAACUUAGAUGGUCGUUGAUGCAGCUGGAGAACGAGCCGACUCCCAUUUUCAUGCAAUGUGUUGUCCUUCUGGCUUCAGCACCACCAACGAUCCAAUAUUAUUUCUAGCCAUCUGCAUCAACACAAAAAGAGUCCUCAAUCUUCAGAGAUAACUUUUCAAGCUUUUGGUAAUGUGAACUGAACCGAACUCGCUACGUUUUGC